UACAGCCAUAUCACGUUGAAAUAGCGUUUCUCGUAGGAUCACCCAAGUUAAGCAACGCCGAGCCUGGUCAGUACUUAGAUGGGUAAGCGAUUGGGAAUGCCAGGUGC